rnacentral:tmRNA from 1 species
GGGGGUGACUGGUUUCGACUUGGGCGGUAGUCCCAGGGGAAGCGGGUCGAGGAUCCACGCUUAUCUCGUUAACGACGUGUGGAAACCAAUAAGUGCCAACAACAACCGCACUGACUUCGCUCUGGCUGCCUGAUCAGCUAACGAAGGGUCAACCCGGGGGUGCCUUCACCUCGGGACCUGGCCUCAUUUAGAGGGCUUGCUGAGUAACCUGCGUGCCAGGGGUUGCUCGGGACUUUACUGGUACUGGGUCUGUCUGCGACAUGCUGAUGUGAGUGCAGGGACCGAGUAACGCGCCUAGUCAGCUGCACCCGGAGAAGCCCUGGUUCGUCUCUCAAGGACGCGGGUUCAAUUCCCGCCACCUCCACCA